rnacentral:lncRNA from 1 species
AAAAAUAAUUCACUAAGAGAAAAGAUUACAAGGUGAUUACCGACUCCACGGACUCAACCUCUCUUAACCUCCUAUGAAUCUUCGCGCUACCCUCCGGGUUGUCCACGCCCUCACGUCCGAAUCCACGAACGCCUCCACUUCGAAUCCACGAAGCUUCAAUCACGCCGAAUCCACGACGCCACUCGAAUCCACGAGCCCUCGAUCCGAAUCCACGAACCGCCUUCAAUCACGCCGAAUCCACGACGCCGUCAUGAAGAACAUCAUGUGUAUGGUGAUCCUUCGCUUAGAGUAUCGAUA